rnacentral:rRNA from 1 species
ACAGGGAUUGCCCUAGUAACGGCGAGUGAAGCGGCAACAGCUCAAAUUUGAAAUCUGGCGUCUUUGGCGUCCGAGUUGUAAUUUGCAGAGGGCGCUUUGGCAUUGGCAGCGGUCCAAGUUCCUUGGAACAGGACGUCACAGAGGGUGAGAAUCCCGUACGUGGUCGCUAGCCUUUACCGUGUAAAGCCCCUUCGACGAGUCGAGUUGUUUGGGAAUGCAGCUCUAAAUGGGAGGUAAAUUUCUUCUAAAGCUAAAUACUGGCCAGAGACCGAUAGCGCACAAGUAGAGUGAUCGAAAGAUGAAAAGCACUUUGGAAAGAGAGUUAAAAAGCACGUGAAAUUGUUGAAAGGGAAGCGCUUGCAGCCAGACUUGCCUGUAGUUGCUCAUCCGGGUUUUUACCCGGUGCACUCUUCUAUAGGCAGGCCAGCAUCAGUUUGGGCGGUUGGAUAAAGGUCUCUGUCAUGUACCUCUCUUCGGGGAGAACUUAUAGGGGAGACGACAUGCAACCAGCCUGGACUGAGGUCCGCGCAUCUGCUAGGAUGCUGGCGUAAUGGCUGUAAGCGGCCCGUCUUGAAACACGGACCAAGGAGUCUAACAUCUAUGCGAGUGUUUGGGUGUCAAGCCCGAGCGCGUAAUGAAAGUGAACGGAGGUGGGAACCCCUCGGGGUGCACCAUCGACCGAUCCUGAUGUCUUCGGAUGGAUUUGAGUAAGAGCAUAGCUGUUGGGACCCGAAAGAUGGUGAACUAUGCUUGAAUAGGGUGAAGCCAGAGGAAACUCUGGUGGAGGCUCGCAGCGGUUCUGACGUGCAAAUCGAUCGUCAAAUUUGGGCAUAGGGG